rnacentral:lncRNA from 1 species
GUUUAACUAUAGGUUCAAGUAUGCCAUGAAAUAAAAAAAAAAAGGUUGAAAAACACUGAUAUAUGACAUUCGUAAAUUUGCUUCUGCCAGCAAUUCAAGUAAUUCUAAAAUUAAUUCUUCAAUGAGAGUGCUUGCAUGUCUCACUAUUUCUACUUCAUUUCAGUCAAUAUCCAGGUUGUAUUCAAGGAACCAUUCACUUACAGUAGUAGUAAUUUUUCAGAUGGAUGCUUUUCUUGCAUUAAGCAGUGUGAUCUAGGUUACAGAGGGCGACUCCUAUAUAUAUUUCAUGACAGUCAAGAUCCUUGUUAUAAAGGAGGAUACCCUUGUAUUUUUCCAACCAUUGUAUAAUUACCUAAUAUAAAAGAGGGGUUCCAAAAAUUAAAAAAACAUAUUAUAUUUUUU